rnacentral:sRNA from 1 species
AAAACAGAGUAAAACAGA